GCACCUGUAGCUCAACUGGAUAGAGCGCCUGGCUUCGGACCAGGAGGUUGAGGGUUCGAGUCCUUCCGGGUGCA
rnacentral:tRNA from 1 species